rnacentral:rRNA from 1 species
UACGAAAGGUGCAAGCGUUACUCGGAAUCACUGGGCGUAAAGCGCACGUAGGCGGACUUACAGGUCAAUUGUGAAAUACCUGGCUCAACCCGGGAACUGCAGUUGAAACCGUUUGUCUUGAAUACCUGAGAGGGUGGGGGAAUACCUGGUGGAGAAGUGAAAUUCGUAGAGAUCAGGUGGAACACCGGAGGCGAAGGCGGCCUGCCUGGCAGUGUAUUGACGCUGAGGUGCGAAAGCGUGGGGAGCAAACAGG